rnacentral:rRNA from 1 species
AUACGGGGGGUGCAAGCGUUAAUCGGAAUUACUGGGCGUAAAGCGCGCGUAGGCGGCUUGGUCAGUCGGAUGUGAAAGCCCUGGGCUCAACCUGGGAAUUGCAUUCGAUACUGCCAAGCUAGAGUAUGGGAGAGGGAAGUGGAAUUUCCGGUGUAGCGGUGAAAUGCGUAGAUAUCGGAAAGAACACCAGUGGCGAAGGCGACUUCCUGGCCCAAUACUGACGCUGAGGUGCGAAAGCGUGGGGAGCGAACAGGAUUAGAAACCCUAGUAGUCC